rnacentral:lncRNA from 1 species
UGACAGCCUGGGGUGCUGAGUGCUGGGCUGUUAGGGAUGAUGGUCUGAGGUGCUGAGUGCUGGGGUGCUGGGUGCUGGGUGCUGAGUGCUGGGCUGUUGGGGAUGACAGCGGAUGUUCUCCUCCCUGUCUUUUCAGGGCAUGUGCACACCACCCUCGGCCGUCAUCCUGGAGACGCGGGAGCUCGGCUGCCAGGUUGCUGAUACGCUCCAUGUUCAGGAGCUGUCCCACCGGGAAAGGUGUCCGUGGGGGUGAGGAGCCCUCUUCUGAUCCUCCUGCUUUCCUGGGGGGUGAAGCUGCUUUCCCAGAAAACACCAGGCCCCCCUCCCAGCUGCCGGACCCCACAGUGUGGUCUUUGUCCCCAGGGGCAGUGCUUUCUGCCCCUUUUGUUCUCUGCUGAUCCCCAGAGCCUGGCCCUGCACAGGUCGUCGGUGAUGUCUGUGGAUUAGAGACCUGCUCCCCUGUGCCUCCACAGGGGAGGGCCACACAUGCAUACACAUGCACACUCAGACACAUGGUCACACACAUGAUCAUGCUUACAUGUCACACACUAUACACACGCACUCUUGUGUACACAUGGCACACACUUACCCUAACGCAGCCACACAGUUCACACACACCCACCCCCUCCUGCUGACACUCUCACAGUCACACACAUGCACUCACCACACCCUCCCCUAGUGGGCUCUGGGGUUCCACCAACCGUAGCUGGGUGGCCACCCCAUGGUCUUCACCACUGCGUGGCCCAACACACAAAGGUGGCCUGGGGUCUCUCCCGACUCUAGGUCAGUUCUUCCUGGUUCCCUGGGCCAACAUUCUCCUGCGGGCCCAGUCUCAGUCAGCCCUCACACGUGGGGAUUCCAGCCCAGCCCCCUUUCCCAGACUCCACACUUGGAUUCUCAAGCCAUAGGUAAAGUAGCCGUGCCGGCACCGACUGGCCCCAAAGUGGAGCCGAUGCCACAAAGCACUGCCGGGCCAGACACCAGCCAGGCAGAGUGAGGAGAGCACAGGCCCCUGGGACAGCGGUGCAGGUCGGCUUCCAGCCAACUUUGGGGUCCCCAGGACCCCGCCUUUCUGGAGGGGUCACCAAGCCAGAGCUGGGCUCCACCUGGCCAUUUGUGAGAUGUGCAGCUUUGUGAGCUGGUGCUGCCCCUGGGGCAGUUUAAACAGCGGUGGUGGGAGGAUGUGCAAAUGCUUCCAACCAGGGGCUUCAUUUUCGCUUUUCCCUGGAGAGCCUGCUUGCCAGCACCCCGCUACCAGGGACCCUCCGUGCCUCCCCAACUCCACCUAACCCCUUCUCCAGCUCCCCUAGUGGGGGGCGGCACCUUGCUCUUCUGAGCGGAGCCGGGGAGAGCGAGGACCCCGCACAUCACCACGUCCCUCCUGCCCCCGGCUUCUGCUUGCCUGUCCCCAGGAGCUGGGAUGCCAGGUCGAUUUCAACUAAGUUCUCUUUUACGGACAUACACACCAGUGGGAUUUGAUUACUGGCCUCACCUGCGCUGGAAGAAGCUCUAUCUUUAACUUCUGUUCUGCUCAUUCUGCUCAUGUAUAUAUUCUGAGAUGUUUUAAACAACAAUUCACCCAUCUUCCUGGCUUUCACCUGAUGAAAUUACAAAUGUUCAGAAUUCUCACCACCUUCUGGUUAAGCAAGUGUCAUGGAUUGAACUGUGUCCCCCUGAAACUCUUAUGCUGGAGUCCUAGUCCCACGGCCUCAGAAUGUGGCCUUAUUUGGAGACAGGGUCUUCACAGAGGUGAUCUAUUUAACAGGAGGUCCCAGGGUGGGCCCUAAACCCCAUGGCUGGUGUCCAUAUAAGAUGGGCACAUUUGGACACCGAGACACAGACAAGAAGACGACCACAUACGGCCACGCGGGGUGCCCUCCAAGGAACCAACUCCGGCCGCACCUUGUUCUCGGCCUUCCCGCCUCCUUUCCCGCUGUUUAAGCCGCCCAUGAGAGUGCCCCGUGAUGGCAACGCCAGCGGGCGCAUAUACAGCAGGCCUCUGGGGUCCAGCCUGGGAGCCCAGACACAGACACCGUCUCUACCUGGCAAGAUGGGGUGAUGAAAUGAGAAAUGAAUAGAUCUGGUCUCUGCUCCCGAGACCCCGCACAGGGCUCCAAAAGCCCUCGAAUUUCCUGGGUGAUGGCAGCAGAUUCUUCCAUUCAAAUGAGGUGAGGCUUGGUGGCUCCUGGAGGGGGUCCAGUCACCAGAGAGACCAGCCAGGAUUAGCACCUGCAGCUCUCAACCCUGCACCCACCCUCCUCCAGGGAUCAUCCACCAUCAUCCUUCAUGUCUGCGAUGGAGCCUCCAUAAGAAUGCCUGGACUAUGGGUCCCGAGCAGUUCCAGGUUGCUGAACACAUCCACGGGCCAGGAGGGUGGUGCCCCCCACUCCACGGACACAGAAGCUCCUGGGCUGGGGACCCUUUCCGACCCUGCCCUGUGCCCCGGCCCACCUGGCUGCCCAUCUGCGGCCUUUCUCAUCUCCUUUUCCUGCGUUCUGUGAUAAUUUUGUGUUGCACUCUUGAUAUUUAAGGCUAAUGUGUAACUAGAAAACUGAGUUUUAAUAUUUAAUGCCCUUGGAUUUGGGAAAUCUCUUACUACAUUAUGUUUGGAUAUACUUUCUCUGAGGGGAUAAAUAUUUUAU